GUGAGCCCACCAAGAGUUGCUUCAUUAGAACAAAAGAUGAUCCUAUCAUCCAGGAAAUUGCCAAGGAUUUAGGAGAUCUGUGUCAGGAACUGAGGUCAAAGUCCAAAUAUUGGAACAGAAGAUUCUCUUAGUACCCCUAUCUAUAAAAGUUUCAGGAGCCGUAUGUCAAGAACUGAAGGAAAAAAACAAAUAGAUAUUUCUUCUUAUAUUACAACAGUACAGAUAUUCAACAAGGGCAGUCCUGAACAAAAUUUUAAAAAAUAUAUCUGAAAAUACAAAGAACCAAGAAUAGUGAAGAUACCAUUAGAGAAGAAUAACAGAGCUAAUGAACUUUUCUUAAUCAUGAGAUUUGUCAUCAAGGGUAUAAAGUUGGAAAACAUUAUAGAAAAACUACUUUUUGUUUUUGAUUGUGAAAAUCUCUACUGACAUAGAAGGCAUGGCAACAUGAUCAAUCAGUUGCACAAUUGGGCUCUAGGAAUGAGUUAAUGAGUGUGGAAAGUCUGACAAUAGGGAAGGAAAAGCAGAGAAUAUUCAAGAAAGCAAGCCACUGGAAGAGAUGGUAGGGAAGGCAGAGAUAAGAAAAUGAGGUGUUGAUGGAUUAGGACAUUCCUCUCUGGCUGAUUCCUGAUUAAAUUUGGACAAAGGACCUGACAGCUGUCAUGUCUCUGUUUCCCAUAACUCUUCCCUCAAAUCAGAAAGCACAGAGUCUGCUACAUGAGAAAAGUGUGGAGAGCCAUCUUGUGCAGCAAUGAAGGUCACUGUGCAAGUACACCUAAUUACAUCAUCCGAGGCCAUAAAGAACUGAGUGUGGACUUUGGUUAAAAUACUUAAAAUACCUGCACACUUAGUACAUGAAAUCUGGCUUCUCCACAAGCUGCAAAAGUGACCAGCCCAUACCUAUUGCUUCAUUAGGAAUUUCCUAUGACCAGUUGACAAAGGAAGAGGAGACUUGAGCCUGGUUUAUACUUGGUCCUAUGUGACAUGCUGGCACUCCUGAAAGUGUACAGCUGAAGCACUACAGCCCCUUUCUGGGAUAUCCCUGAAGGACACUGAUGAAGGGAAAGCCUUCCAGUGAGCAGAAACACCUUAUAUGAC
rnacentral:lncRNA from 1 species